AGCAGCCGCGGUAAUUCCAGCUCCAAUAGCGUAUAUUAAAGUUGUUGCAGUUAAAAAGCUCGUAGUUGAAUUUCGGGAUCAAUUAAUUGGUCGUGCCUCUGGUACGCACUGGUUUUAUUGGUUUCUCCCUUCUGACGAACCACGAUGUCAUUAAUUUGGUGUCGUGGAGAAUCAGGACUGUUACUUUGAAAAAUUAGAGUGUUUAAAGCAGGCUAACGCUUGAAUACAUUAGCAUGGAAUAAUGAAAUAGGACGUUUGAUCCUAUUUUGUUGGUUUCUAGGAUCGACGUAAUGAUUAAUAGGGAUAGUUGGGGCAUUAGUAUUCAAUUGUCAGAGGUGAAAUUCUUGGAUUUAUUGAAGACUAACUACUGCGAAAGCAUUUGCCAAGGA
rnacentral:rRNA from 1 species